UCCGGUUUGGCACCGGCAGUCUCCCUAGAGUUCCCGGCAUUACCCGCUGGCAACUAAGGACAUGGGUUGCGCUCGUUGCGCCACUUAAGGCAACACCUCACGGCACGAGCUGACGACGGCCAUGCAGCACCUGUCUCCGGUCCAGCCGAACUGAAGGAGUGCGUCUCUGCGCUCCGCGACCGGGAUGUCAAGGGCUGGUAAGGUUCUUCGCGUUGCUUCGAAUUGAACCACAUGCUCCACCGCUUGUGCGGGCCCCCGUCAAUUCCUUUGAGUUUUAAUCUUGCGACCGUACUCCCCAGGCGGGAUGCUUAAUGCGUUAGCUGCGCCACUGAAGAGCAAGCUCCCCAACGGCUAGCAUCCAUCGUUUACAGCGUGGACUAC
rnacentral:misc_RNA from 1 species